UACGGAGGAUGCGAGCGUUAUCCGGAUUUAUUGGGUUUAAAGGGUGCGUAGGCGGGCAUUUAAGCCGGCGGUCCAAUGUCGGGGCUCAACCCCGCCGAGCCGUCGGAACUGGGGGCCUUGAGUGCGGCGGAGGCAUGCGGAAUGCGCGGUGUAGCGGUGAAAUGCAUAGAUAUCGCGCAGAACCCCGAUUGCGAAGGCAGCAUACCGGCGCCCUACUGACGCUGAGGCACGAAAGUGCGGGUAUCGAACAGG
rnacentral:rRNA from 1 species